UACGGGGGGAGCAAGCGUUGUUCGGAUUUACUGGGCGUAAAGGGCGCGUAGGCGGCCACCGCAAGUCGACUGUGAAAUCUCCGGGCUUAACCCGGAAAGGUCAGCCGAUACUGCGGGGCUAGAGUGCAGAAGGGGCAACUGGAAUUCUCGGUGUAGCGGUGAAAUGCGUAGAUAUCGAGAGGAACACCUGCGGCGAAGGCGGUGGUCUGGGCCGGCACUGACGCUGAGGAGCGAAAGCGUGGGGAGCGAACAGG
rnacentral:rRNA from 1 species